rnacentral:rRNA from 1 species
AUACGUAGGGGGCGAGCGUUGUCCGGAAUGAUUGGGCGUAAAGGGCGCGUAGGCGGCCCGGUAAGUCUGGAGUGAAAGUCCUGUUUUUAAGAUGGGAAUUGCUUUGGGUACUGUCGAGCUUGAGUGCAGGAGAGGAAAGUGGAAUUCCCAGUGUAGCGGUGAAAUGCGUAGAGAUUGGGAGGAACACCAGUGGCGAAGGCGACUUACUGGACUGUAACUGACGCUGAGGCGCGAAAGUGUGGGGAGCAAACAGGAUUAGAUGCCCUGGUAGUCCACACUGUAAACGAUGAAUGCUAGGUGUAGGGGGUAUCGACCCCUUCUGUGCCGCAGUCAACACAAUAAGCAUUCCGCCUGGGGAGUACGGCCGCAAGGUUGAAACUCAAAGGAAUUGACGGGG